CUGCCUCCCAUCUCUCUGCACUUAACCCAGGCAUUCUUUAGCCAUUCGCUCAGCCAGAGGACUUUCUCAUCGGUGUGUUCCCCUAGGAGAAUGGAAACAGUUUGUUUCUCUCCCUGGACCUCCCGGCCUAGUCUGUGACCAUGCCUACUCUCCAGCCACCAGAGCCCACCAACUUCUGGUCUCUCAACAGCCAUUGGUGGGCCUUCAGCAGGUCCAGACUCAAGGAGCCCCUCCUCUCAGCCCUAGCUCAUCAGAGCCCCUGAGCCCAGCAGGAAAACCCAGAUGCUGGGAGCUGCCAAGCUGGGUUCAGAACACCUGCUUCACUCUCACUCUGUCCCAACACUUACGGGUGACCAAGCCAACACCAGGAAUGUAAUCAGCCAGCAGCCGCAGCAGGAAGAGGAUCCUGUCCCUGCAUGGAAAGAUGGUGAGAAAACAGGCUGAAGGAACUGCGGGAGGAAAUGCUCAAGCCAAGGGGGCCCCUAACUCUGAAGGUACAAAGUGACUUUGGGGAACAGAACAGAAUGAGACCUGAGGAAAGGAGGAGAGAGACUGUGCUGGGGGCUGGGGAGGGAGGGACAGGGAGAACACAGCCUUAGCCUCCUCUCUCCCACCGGAGCUCCACUCAGCAGCCCAGUCAUUAGCUUCUAACUUUGCCUUCUGUGUCCACUAGCAAGUGUGCCACCAGCCCUCCUUUCUUCAAAAGGGUGAAAAGCCAAAGCCAAGGACAGAGGAAAGCCUGCUAGCCCAACUGGCCGGCUCCUCUGUCGUUGCCUAAUCUGACGCUCGGUCCCCCACAUCUGUCUGCAUAGGCAGGAGUGGCCAGGUUAAAAGGUAACUGGGCCCUAUUUAACACAGUAAUAAAAAUCCAAUAAAGCCAGCAACACUGCAUUUGAAAACACUA